CAGUCUACGGUGAAGCCAGAGUCCAAAAUCACCCUGCUCUACACCGCAAGUCCCAGAUCUCGGUUGAACAAGACAACACUCGAGCACCAGUGACGCAUUCCCUCUCCCACCCUCUAGGCCCCUACCCUCCCAUGGCGAAGGGCGUCGGUGGCGGGGAUCCCAUACCGCUGUCGCGGUUCGGCGCGCUGGUGGCCCAGCUGGAGUCCGUAGUGGCAUCGGCCAGGCAGAAGACCCCCGACGCGCUGCUCUGCUUCGACCUCCUCUCCGAGCUCUCCUCUGCCAUCGACGAGGCCCCCAAGGAGACCAUACAACUUUGGCAAAGGAAAUGUGAGGAUGCUCUCCAAUCCUUGCUCGUCCUUGGGACACGACGUCCAGUUCGGCGCUUGGCGUCAUCAGCGAUGGGCCGAAUUAUCGAGAAAGGCGAUGUGAUAUCUGUAUAUUCAAGGGCAAGUAACUUGCAGGGGUGGUUGGUCGAUGUGAAAAGGGCUGAGGCCACUGCAUGUGCAGGUGCAGCACAAUGUCUGGGGGAAAUUUACCGUUUAUUUGGACGCAAGAUUACUGCAGGGCUGAUUGAGACAUCAAGCAUUGUAGCUAAACUCAUGAAGUAUCAUGAGGACUUUGUGAGACAAGAUGCUCUUCUCUUGCUUGAGAAUGCAUUGGAAGGCUCAGGUGGUGGUGGUGCUGCUGCAGCUUAUCAAGAGGCUUUUCGUAUCAUCAUGCGAGGUGUAAGUGAUAAAUCGUUCAUUGUCAGAGCAGCGGCAGCACGUUGCUUGAAGGCAUUUGCUAAUAUUGGUGGGCCUGCAUUGGGGAUGGCUGAUUUCGAUUCUUCUAUGUCUUAUUGUGUGAAGGGUUUGGAAGAUAGUGUAUCUUCAGUUAGAGAUUCAUUUGCCGAAGCACUUGGUGCCAUACUUGCUCUUGCAGUGAAUCCAGAUGCCCAGGUGAAGAAAGGCGGGAAAAAACAAACUGCUUCUGCAAAGAAAAUUGAAGAUGGUGUGCAGAAGCAUUUGAUUGUGCCAUUUGUCAAAGCAAAUGGAGCAAAUGCAAAGGAACUCCGGAUUGGUUUGACUUUAUCAUGGGUGUUCUUUCUGCAUAUGAUUCAUAUGAAGUAUGGCACCCCAGAUAGCGAACUUCAAAAUUAUGCCAUACAAACGAUGGAAAUUCUCCAGGGGAAUGAUUCCCUUGAUCCACAUGCGCUGGCAUGCGUUCUGUAUGUUCUUCGAGUUGGUGUCGCGGAUCAGAUGACUGAGCUGACACAACGCGAUUUUUUGCUAUUUCUGGGAAGAAAGCUGGAGUCUUUGAACUACACAGCUGCAACGAGAGUGGCAACACUACGCAUUUUGUGUUACCUAUUGAGAAGCGUUGGUGAGGUUCCAGCUGAAUUCAAGGAUGUUCUUGAUAACACAGUUGUUGCAGCAUUGUCUCAUUCUUCUGCUCAUGUUCGUGUGGAGGCAGCUUUAACAUUGCGUGCUUUAGCAGAGGUUGAUCCUACUUGUGUAGGUGGUUUAGUUUCAUAUGGUCUUACAACAUUGCAAGCUCUACGAGAGACUGUAUCAUUUGAUAAGGGCAAAAGUUUGAACCUUGAGCUCGACUCACUACAUGGACAGGCCACUGUGUUAGCUGCUCUUGUUGCAAUAUCACCAAAGUUGCUUCUUGGUUAUCCUGCGAGGCUGCCCAAGUCUGUACUUGAAUUAUCCAAAAAAAUGCUGAAUGGUUUCAGUCGAAAUCCAGUGGCUGCUAUUGCAGAGCGUGAAGCUGGUUGGUUGCUAUUAGCUUCUCUUCUAGCAUCCAUGCCAAAAGAGGAGCUGGAAGACCAGGUGUUUGAUGUUCUUUUGCUAUGGGCGGGUCCUUUUACUGGAAAUCCUGAAUCUUACCUUCGUCAUAUACAGGAUUGGGCAUCAGAAUUGCGGGUUCUGUCAGUUGCAGUUGAGGCGCUUACUGCCUUCAUAAGAAGUUUUGUUUAUCCAUCUAUCACAACUACUGAUUGUGGAAUCUUGCUUAAUCCUGUACUUGCCUACCUUGGCGGAGCUCUAUCCCUCAUAUCUUCGUUGAGAUCUAAACAAGUGCCCAAUGUAAGGUCUGCGCUGGACCUACUCACAACUAGAACAUUGAUGGCUUAUUGGUCCCUUUCGAAUCCAGUGGUAUAUAAAACUGAGCACCAGCAGAUACUUCAGCUAUGCUCAAGUCCGUUCAGUGAUCCUUCUGGAUGGGAAGAAAGCUCAUGCUUGAAGUUUUUGUUGGAUAAGAGAGAUGCUUCACUGGGCCCAUGGAUACCUGGAAGGGAUUCAUUUGAGGAUGAAUUACGUGCUUUUGAUGGUGGUGCUGAUGGGUUUCUACCGUGUGUGUGGGAUGAUGAAAUCAGCAACUUCCCUCAGCCAGAGUCAAUUCGGAAAAUGCUCGUCAACCAGAUGCUUCUCUGUUAUGGUUCCAUAUUUGCAUGUCAGGAAAACACUGUCAAGAUAAGCCUCUUGAACAAUCUUGACCAGUGCCUGAAGUCUGGGAAGAAGUACCUGUGGUUUAAGUUUCUCAUUACAAAUGCAUGUGUUGCUCUAUUGUCAGGGUUAAAGGAAUUCCUCGCUUUACGUGGUGCUCAAUCAUUGCCAAUUGAUAUAUUAAGUAUGAUUCAGUCCAUUUUCAAGGCCAUUUUAGUAGAGCCUGAAAUUUCUACAGCACAGCGGCGAGCAGCGUGCGAGGGUCUCGGUUUAUUAGCACGAGCUGGGAAUGAUAUCUUUACAGCAAGGAUGGCUCGCUCUCUUCUCGGAGAGCUGGUAACAACAACAGAUCUGAGCUAUACAACUUCUGUUGCAUUUUCAUUGGGUUGCAUCCAUCGAAGUGCUGGAGGAAUGGCAUUAUCUACUCUGGUUACCCCAACUGUGAGCUCACUAUCUCAUUUGAGUAAAAGCUCUAAUUUCAAUCUGCAGUUGUGGUCACUGCAUGCUCUUCUUUUAACAAUUGAAGCUGCUGGCUUGUCUUAUGUCUCGCAAGUUCAGGGGACACUUUUCCUUGCUAUGGAGAUUCUCCUCUUGGAAGAAAAUGGAUAUGUUGAUCUUCGACAAGGAAUUGGUCAUCUUAUUAAUGCAAUAGUUGCUGUUAUUGGUCCAGAGCUUGCUCCUGAUAGCACAUUCUUUUCACGAUGCAAGUCUGUUAUUGCAGAGAUAAGUUCAUCAAAUGAAAUGGCUACACUUUUAGAAUCGGUUAGAUUCUCCCAGCAGCUUGUGCUUUUUGCUCCUCAAGCUGUUCCUGUGCACUUGCACGUUCAAGGUCUUAUCCCAAUGCUUUACUCAAGACAGCCAAGUCUUAGAUAUUUAGCAGUGUCGACACUGCACCAUCUGAUUGAAAGGGACCCGGCUGCAAUGAUUGACGAGAAUAUUGAAGAGAAUCUGUUCAGUAUGCUUGAUGAGGAGACCGAUUCAGAAACAGCGAUGUUGGUUCGUGCAACUAUUAUUCGCUUAUUGUAUACAUCAUGUCCAGUAUGUCCAUCACGGUGGCUGGCAGUUUUACGAAAUAUUGUUCUUGCUACGUCAAUUAGAAGAAACACAGGUGAAGUUCUGUCAUGUUUUGGGCAUAAUCCUCCUGAUAGUACAUCUGAGAAUGAUGUGUACUAUGGAGAAGAUGAAGACAACAUGAUUUCCAGCUCAAAGCAGCAGCAAAUCCGCUGUGCUGGUUCUAUAUCCAGCCAGUUUCCUCCAAGGAAUAAACACCUCAGAUAUCGUACCAGGGUUUUUGCUGCAGAAUGCGUUAGCCAUGUACCAAUUGCAGUUGGAGCAGAACCUGCUCAUUUUGACCUCUUGUUGGCAAGGAGCGCAAUAUCUCAAGGCACUUAUUUGUCAAAUGAUUGGCUAGUGCUUAAACUACAGGAACUGGUCUCACUUUCAUACCAGAUUAGUACUGGGCAAUUUGAAGGAAUGCAACCAAUAGGUGUGAAGCUUUUGUGUUUGAUAAUGGACAAGUUCGGCAAGGCAGUAGAUCCGGAAUUUCCUGGCCAUAUCUUGCUGGAACAAUUUCAGGCCCAACUUGUUUCUGCUGUUAGAAUGGCUAUAAGCACUGCUUCUGGUCCACUUCUUUUGGAGGCUGGACUUGAACUCGCUACAAGGGUUAUGACGAGCAGCAUAAUUGGUGGGGAUAGACUAGCUCUUAGUCGCUUGUUUUCUCUGAUAACACGCCCGUUAAGUGACAUAGAGGGCCUACUAUAUCCAUCUUUUGCUGACUGGGUAGUGUGCAAGAUAAAAGUUCGCCUUCUAACUGCCCAUGCAGCAGUCAAGUGUAACACCUAUCAAUUCUUGAGGAUGAGGGAAAAUGCUCCUAAUGAAUACCAGCAAUUGGCACCUUCACUUGUAAACAGUUCAACUCUAUUAGGAAAAUACUGGAUUCGAGCACUCAAGGAUUAUGUUUCUAUAAGUUUUGGUUUGCACUCAAAAAUCAAUUACAAGCCAUUCCUUGAUGGGAUUCAGUCAUUAUUAGUCUUGUCCAAGGUGCAGAGGUAUCUUGAUGAAGUUUGGUUAUUAAUUCUUAAAGCAACAGCUCUUGAUGCCGCGCCUUUGGAUUUUGAUGAGAAUAAUCCUAAAAAUUUACUCGAACAAACAUUUAUAUCUGGGCAUUGUAUGGUCAAAUUGGACAGAACUGAAUUCCAAUUUCUUUGGGGGUUAUCUAUCCUUGUGCUGUUCCAUUCCUGCCAAUCAAUGAAGAAUAAUUCUUUGAAGAUCAACCUUGACUUUAAACAAGACAAAAACUUUGGGGAAUUUAUUGUUCAUGGACUUGAUGACAAAAGACCGUGUGAUCAGGUCUUACGCGUGCUUUCGUCCCUCACAACAGAAGUCUUUUUCAGCAAUAAUUUUAUUUCAGUGGAUAUUUGCCAGCAACUCCUCCAGGCACUUACAUAUGCAGAUUGUUCAAGCGCUCCUAUCAUCCACCUAUUCACCCAGACAAACUCAGGGAAGCACCACCUCAACUGGUGGGGUACUCGAGAAGAAGUCAACCCCCCCUCCCCCUGUUUGCGCAGCUGUCACACAAGAUGCCGCCAGUGGCCAAUGCCACCCAUCUGCUACGGAUAGUCUGUCUCUAACAUCAGCUGUAAUACCCCUUACCGGUGAGGAACGCACUAGGCCCAAAUAUUUACACCGAUACAGGAUAGAGACUGUGUGGAACAAGGACUCUAACAAAGACUAUAUAUGAGAACGAAAACAAGGACACAUGGACAUGCAUCUAACAAGGAAAGGUUCCUGGAUUAUUUUCCUAGUGUUUUUUUACAUAAGCGUCUCCCUGAUAUAUGGUCUUAUAAGCAAGAGCGGACGGCUACAAGUGAGGUCCCCACACACAUCCAUGUAUUAAUUAUCAAUGAACACAUGUCCCCUUAAAAUAUCCCACAUUGCGCUACUGGUCCAUUACUUCACUUGCCUCUAGUUGAUUUUCAUGGUGCGCCUGCAGCUGCAGGUGUAGCUUACAUGGUAGGCAGUGAGUGGGAUAAAAUGAUACAAUGGAAGAAAGAGGUGCACAGUGGGAAAGUAUCCCAGGUUGAUUGACUACUGUUUUGUAGCUUAGGGAAAGUAGAUCUUUUACUCCCUUCAGUCUUGAUGCUGGAAUGAGAUUAACUAAUGUGAACUUGUGUAGUUGCAAGUAUUGCUUCUCUCUUUUUUCUUGAAGGGCUAAUAUUGUCUCUGGUUUGAUUCCUUUUGCCUCUAUGUUAGCAAUAUUUAAGGAUAAUACAGUAACAAAGUUUUAUUCAUUGCAUGUUGCUUAUUUUUAAUGAGACUACUGCCUAACUUUUGUUUCACCAUGAAGAUUAUCAGAUUCUGCCCUGACAAUUUUUUUGAGGUUGAAGCCUUUGUCUUCUCUGCAAUAGAGUUAUUGUCUCAGUAUCUGGGUCUGAUACUUCAAUGUAGGGAUGGGAGUUCUCAGAAUAAUUCAAGUAACACUUUGAUUUCUGAGUUGUCUAUUGCAAGCGAGACGAUGGCUUAUCGGAUCAAAGGAGAGUAUUUGUGGAAGCUGGUGAUGUUAGUGGUAUCUACUUCACACCAAUCAUUUCAACAAGUUUCAACUAAUUUAUGCUUCUCAAAUAUUAUAUGCUUCCUCCAAAAUAUCUUCCCUUUCAUGAGGAAAAUUUUUAGAGAAAGAGUCGAAUCAGAUGGUGAGUGCACAAGUCCUAAAGUUGUCUUUGGUGCUAUGGUUGGCCUAGUGGGAUACUUCUAUGUAGAGUGUGAUAAAAAGAUCUCAUUGCUCGAAAACAAGAUUUCUGAUUCCUACAAGCUGUUGAAUAAGAUACUACUUUUUUGCUUGGGAGAAGCCACUGCUCUUGCAAAACUUGUUCCUGAGAUCAUUUAUCGAAGUGAAAAUGUAAGUAACAAUGAUGUGCUCCUUUGGGGCAGCUUCAGGCUGUGCGUACAGGUUAUUCAAGGUUCAUUUCGUAGUACCAACAUACAGGUGCACAUGCUGGGUCUGCAAGUACUGAGAAGCUAUGCACAGAAGGAGCUAACUGAAGGUUCAGAAACAAAGUUGGAUUCUUUUAUGAUGUUGCUUACGGAAUUGUUGGGAGACUUGUUUUUGGUGAUGGAGACUACAUUGAAGGAAUGUUCAAACAAAAAAUCUGUCAGUGUCGUUGAUGAAUGUUUGAAACUUGUUUUCCUCUUCCACACACUAGCACAAUCAAAGAAAUACCGACAAGAUGCUACAACUCUUCUGCUGGAGGCCUUGCUGAUGGUUUUCUCUCUGUCCAGUGAUACUGUUUCACAGGAGCUUGCUGAAGUGAACACCAUUUCCAGAAAGUUGUUCUCUCAUUUUAUUCAGAUUCCGUCUGUGGCUAUACAGAUCAAAGACAUAAUGCUUUCUGCACCAGCUGAAAGGAGACUACAGCUUCAGGACAUGGUCCGAGCUUCAGUCAGUCAAGGGCAGAUAACGGUGCCAGUGGCUACGAGUGCACACUCAGAACAGAAUAUUCAGGAUAGUUGCAGUAAAAACCCUGGGUCCACAUCUGAAGCUUCUGAUUGUGUUGCAACUCACGGGAAUAAUGACAAUGAAGUUGUUGAUGAUGACUGGGAUGACGAUUGGGAUGCUUUCCAAUCUCUUCCUGCAAUUGCAAAUGAUGGUGUUGAUUCUGGAGAAAUCUCUCUUACAACUAGGUACAAUGAACAGAUCCCUCAAGAAAAUAGCAGUUACGGUUCUUGUAAUGCGGAUAUUACAGCUCGUGCUAUGGAAGACAUAACUUGUGUGGACAAGGAACUUGAGGAGCCCUCUGAUUUGCAAUUCUCAAGUACUGAACAACAGCCUAAACAUGAUUUACCAGGGUCAUCCCACGAAGGUUGUGCUAAACUUGAAAGACAUCCAUCUGUUGAUUGCAAAGAGCAAUUAGCUGAUGAUGAGACAGCAGAUGAACUGCAGCAGCAGGUUCAUGAAGACACUGAUCAUGUAAAUAAAGAUAGCGAAGUUCUCUCUGCAGAAAUUCAUGGGGUUAAAUUGGAUAUCCUUGAUGAAGAUGUUGAAGAUGAUUCCCCAAUGAAUUCAAACAAUCUAUCAGAUAUCGCAGAGGAAGAGUCCUAGGGUUGGUACAAUGCAACGAGGGUGGACCGCAAGCUUGUCGAGAUAGUAGAGAAGAGCUGUCCGGUUCCUCUGAUGCUGGCAUACCAGAUUUUAGUAUGUCAGGACACGUGAUGAGCAAGAGCGGAGGAAAUGAGCAAAAUGUUAUUUUGCCUGUAUCAAUAUAUAUUGCACGAGAUAAAAAUAAUAUAAGGUUACAACCAUGAUUUUUAUUU